ensembl:lncRNA
AUGACAUUGUUGCACAGACAUCGAUGGCGACAACAUGUGUUUGUGAUUUUCGCGAUGCACCGUCCUCAACAUACUAAGCCCUAUGGAAGGGGAGAUUUGGAGGUACCUGGUCAGGUCUUGGUCAGCCUUCAAAUCCCAGAUGUGGAGACUGCAGGGAUACCUCACAGAGAAGACACUAAAGAGUCAUCUCUCAUUCAUCGAGUGGACUCAUUGGUUUGCGAAUUACCACAAAGAUGCUCCCAUAGGCAGAUUGCUGCAUGGCAUGCACCGCUUAUUCAAAUUGAAGAGGUUGAAGCAGUCUUCCUUGUGGUCACUUGCCAUAACAAUGUCAUGUUUUAUGAAAACACCAUCAGUAACAUUUAAAUUGAGUUAAUGUGGACGGCUCUUUUUUUUGUCCGAUUUCUUCAGUGUUCAGUGCCUGUUUGUGAGAUAUGCAUUGUUUGAAAGAUAAGCCUUUGAUUUUGUUUAAUUUUAAUAUGCCUUUCAUCAACAGUGGUUUGGGGUUUUAUAACAACAAUUAAAGUGCUUAACUACUGGUGAACGAUGUUGCAGAACAUAUAUGGUUUGUGUUGAUUGCAUGGAAAAGGGAAUAACCAGUUACAACUUAUAUGGUAAGAGCCUGGUAAUACCAUGGAAACAAACUAGGCUUCCUUUUACAGUACAGUUUCAGCUUACUUACUGGGUAAAUUGUCGUGUUUUACUUGGUAACGUCGCAGAACGUACAUGGUACAAGUCUGUUGACUGCAUGUAAAAGGGAAUAAUGUAUUACAAAUUAUAUGGUAAGAACCUGGUAAUACCAAGGAAAUAAACGAGGCUUCCUUUUACAGUACAGUUUCAGCUUAAUUACUGGGUAAAUUGUCGUGUUUUACUUGGUAACGUCGCAGAACGUACAUGGUACAAGUUUGUGUUGACUGCAUAGAAAAGGGAAUAAUGUAUUACAAAUUAUAUGGUAAGAACCUGGUAAUACCAUGGAAACAAACGAGGCUUCCUUUUACAGUACAAUUUCAGCUUAAUUACUGGGUAAAUUGACGUGUUUUACUUGGUAACGUCGCAGAACGUACAUGGUACAAGUUUGUGUUGACUGCAUGGAAAAGGGAAUAAUGUAUUACAAAUUAUCUGGUAAGAACCUGGUAAUACCAUGGAAACAAACGAGGCUUCCUUUUACAGUACAGUUUCAGCUUAAUUACUGGGUAAAUUGACGUGUUUUACUUGGUAACGUCGCAGAACGUACAUGGUACAAGUUUGUGUUGACUGCAUGGAAAAGGGAAUAAUGUCUUACAAAUUAUAUGGUAAGAACCUGGUAAUACCAUGGAAACAAACAAGGCUUCCUUUUACAGUACAGUUUCAGCUUAAUUACUGGGUAAAUUGUCGUGUUUUACUUGGUAACGUCGCAGAACGUACAUGGUACAAGUUUGUGUUGACUGCAUGGAAAAGGGAAUAAUGUCUUACAAAUUAUAUGGUAAGAACCUGGUAAUACCAUGGAAACAAACGAGGCUUCCUUUUACAGUACAGUUUCAGCUUAAUUACUGGGUAAAUUGUCGUGUUUUACUUGGUAACGUCGCAGAACGUACAUGGUACAAGUUUGUGUUGAUUGCAUGGAAAAGGGAAUAAUGUAUUACAAAUUAUAUGGUAAGAACCUGGUAAUACCAUGGAAACAAACAAGGCUUCCUUUUACAGUACAGUUUCAGCUUAAUUACUGGGUAAAUUGUCGUGUUUUACUUGGUAACGUCGCAGAACGUACAUGGUACAAGUUUGUGUUGGCUGCAUGGAUAAUGGAAUGUAUCUAUUAUGAAUUAUAUGGUAAGAACCUGGUAAUACCAUGGAAACAAACGGCUACGUACCCAGUAUUUAAGAAGAUGUACCAUGACACUAGAGGAAAACAGAUUCCUGCAGAGGUUGUUACCAGGUAAGUAAUUCCAUAGUGGUAAAUCGAAUAAACCCUUUCUAGUUGGGUGUAGCUAUGAAUAAUAACUAAGAAAAAGUAUUUUAUUGUAAAGUACUAUGCUAAUUUCUAGAUUGUACAUCAUUAAAUUUGGGCUGUUGCCAACAUAAACCUUGGAUAAUAGGUGUUUCUAAGAAUUGGUUGCCUGAUUUCGUAGGAAGUACACAAUAUCGGAGUUAUUACCAACCUAAAACAGUUACAACUACACGCUACUUAGUUGAGUUCUUGGGUAAUAGUGAAGGUUUUACUUGGUACAUCAGCUGUAAUUCCUCUGUAUUUACCCUCUAAUUACCAGUGGUAAUUACACAGUAAUACACUAUAAUUUACCGGAUAAUUCCUCUGUAUUUACCUUCUUAUUACCAGUGGUAAUUACCCAGUAAUACACUAUGAUUUACCAUGUAUUUACCGGGUAACUACCUCUGUAUUUACCUUCUUAUUACCAGUGGUAAUUACCCAGUAAUACACUAUAAUUUACCAUGUAUGUACCGGGUAAAUACCUAGUAAUUAGGGGACUGUAAAAGGAAGGGUUACCCGUCUGGAGGAGGCCCCCGUCCUAGGUAUCUUCAACUCACACCUCCGGCGGAGCUUUUCUGGCAUUCCUGUGGAGGUUGGGGGCAUUGAGCCGGAGUGGGCGGUGUUCAAAGCCUCCAUUGCUGAAGCUGCGG